AAGUCGAACGAACUCUGGUAUUGAUUGGUGCUUGCAUCAUGAUUUACAUUUGCCUGAGUGGCGAACUGGUGAGUAACACGUGGGAAACCUGCCCAGAAGCGGGGGAUAACACCUGGAAACAGAUGCUAAUACCGCAUAACAACUUGGACCGCAUGGUCCGAGUUUGAAAGAUGGCUUCGGCUAUCACUUUUGGAUGGUCCCGCGGCGUAUUAGCUAGAUGGUGGGGUAACGGCUCACCAUGGCAAUGAUACGUAGCCGACCUGAGAGGGUAAUCGGCCACAUUGGGACUGAGACACGGCCCAAACUCCUACGGGAGGCAGCAGUAGGGAAUCUUCCACAAUGGACGAAAGUCUGAUGGAGCAACGCCGCGUGAGUGAAGAAGGGUUUCGGCUCGUAAAACUCUGUUGUUAAAGAAGAACAUAUCUGAGAGUAACUGUUCAGGUAUUGACGGUAUUUAACCAGAAAGCCACGGCUAACUACGUGCCAGCAGCCGCGGUAAUACGUAGGUGGCAAGCGUUGUCCGGAUUUAUUGGGCGUAAAGCGAGCGCAGGCGGUUUUUUAAGUCUGAUGUGAAAGCCUUCGGCUCAACCGAAGAAGUGCAUCGGAAACUGGGAAACUUGAGUGCAGAAGAGGACAGUGGAACUCCAUGUGUAGCGGUGAAAUGCGUAGAUAUAUGGAAGAACACCAGUGGCGAAGGCGGCUGUCUGGUCUGUAACUGACGCUGAGGCUCGAAAGUAUGGGUAGCAAACAGGAUUAGAUACCCUGGUAGUCCAUACCGUAAACGAUGAAUGCUAAGUGUUGGAGGGUUUCCGCCCUUCAGUGCUGCAGCUAACGCAUUAAGCAUUCCGCCUGGGGAGUACGGCCGCAAGGCUGAAACUCAAAGGAAUUGACGGGGGCCCGCACAAGCGGUGGAGCAUGUGGUUUAAUUCGAAGCUACGCGAAGAACCUUACCAGGUCUUGACAUACUAUGCAAAUCUAAGAGAUUAGACGUUCCCUUCGGGGACAUGGAUACAGGUGGUGCAUGGUUGUCGUCAGCUCGUGUCGUGAGAUGUUGGGUUAAGUCCCGCAACGAGCGCAACCCUUAUUAUCAGUUGCCAGCAUUAAGUUGGGCACUCUGGUGAGACUGCCGGUGACAAACCGGAGGAAGGUGGGGAUGACGUCAAAUCAUCAUGCCCCUUAUGACCUGGGCUACACACGUGCUACAAUGGAUGGUACAACGAGUUGCGAACUCGCGAGAGUAAGCUAAUCUCUUAAAGCCAUUCUCAGUUCGGAUUGUAGGCUGCAACUCGCCUACAUGAAGUCGGAAUCGCUAGUAAUCGCGGAUCAGCAUGCCGCGGUGAAUACGUUCCCGGGCCUUGUACACAC
rnacentral:rRNA from 2 species